rnacentral:lncRNA from 1 species
GGGACGUACAGUAAUGACAUGAACUGGUGAGUAAUUUCUUGAUUUUGCAAUACCUCCUAGGGAUAGGGGUAGGACGAUCAAUUGCGUUAACUUCUGUUUUUAAUGCGGUAUUAAUUGCUAGGGGAGGCUAGGGAUAGCAAGCCAGUAGUUAAUAUUAGGCUCUUUUCGCCGAGGGAUCGGGUUAAGGGGAGGCUAAGAAAGUCGCAUAACAAUUAAUUAAUCAAACUAAUAUUCAUGAGGAGUAUGUAAGAGAGAGCAGAUUAGAUGAAAUUGUAAACCCCCAACAACAUCCAUUCAUCCAUUGUUUUCUUUUGUCAAUUGAAUCAACUUUAUUUUGCACGUUAAUAUUUUUGUUCUCAAAUCCAAUUUAUUAAUUUUUAUUUUCAAGUCUUAUUAUUUUAAUUCACGUGAGCGAGAAAGCCUUUCGAGUCUCUUGGGAAAACGAUAUUUGGUCUUAACAUUUAUAUUACUUAUACAAUUUGGUACACUUGUCAAUUUGUUAACAGAGCCUCAAUGACAUCCCUACUCCUUGACAUAAUUGAACACUUGAGUACAACUUACUCGACGACACCAUAAGCUUAGGUGGCACCCCCGCUAGACGAUGUAAUCAUACACUCAAGUAAACCAUAAUUGACAACACAACAAUAAGCUUAAAUGGCAUCCCAACUUGAUGGUAUAAUCAUACCUCUAAUUAAACCAUACUCAACGAUGCAACAAUAGGCUCAAGUGGCCUCUUUACUCACCAACAUAAUCAUGCACCCCGAGUAAAUCAUCCAAGUUGAUGCAAUAACAAGUCCGACUAGAUUUGCACUUGUUGACCAAGCAAGAGAAUGAAUGGUCACACACUUACAAACAACAAUUUGACAAUUGAUUCU